rnacentral:rRNA from 1 species
CACGUAGGGCGCAAGCGUGUCCGGAAUUAUUGGGCGUAAAGAGCUCGUAGGCGGUCUGUUGCGUCUGCUGUGAAAACUCGGGGCUUAACCCCGAGCCUGCAGUGGAUACGGGCAGACUAGAGGUAGGUAGGGGAGAAUGGAAUUCCCGGUGUAGCGGUGAAAUGCGCAGAUAUCGGGAGGAACACCGGUGGCGAAGGCGGUUCUCUGGGCCUUACCCUGACGCUGAGGAGCGAAAAGCGUGGGGGGAGCGAAACAGGG